GACAGAGGGUGCAAGCGUUGUUCGGAAUUAUUGGGCGUAAAGGGCGCGUAGGCGGCGACGUAAGUCAGGUGUGAAAUCCCGGGGCUUAACCCCGGAAGUGCGCCUGAUACUGCGUUGCUUGAGUCCCGGAGAGGGUGGUGGAAUUCCCAGUGUAGAGGUGAAAUUCGUAGAUAUUGGGAGGAAUACCGGUGGCGAAGGCGACCACCUGGACGGAGACUGACGCUGAGGCGCGAAAGCGUGGGGAGCAAACAGG
rnacentral:rRNA from 1 species